rnacentral:rRNA from 1 species
GGUACAUCGGUGACAGGUGGUGCAUGGUUGUCGUCAGCUCGUGUCGUGAGAUGUUGGGUUAAGUCCCGCAACGAGCGCAACCCCUAUUGUUAGUUGCCAUCAUUCAGUUGGGCACUCUAGCGAGACUGCCGGUAAUAAACCGGAGGAAGUGGGGAUGACGUCAAAUCAUCAUGCCCCUUAUGACCUGGGCUACACACGUGCUACAAUGGUUGGUACAACGAGUUGCGAGUCGGUGACGGCGAGCUAAUCUCUUAAAGCCAAUCUCAGUUCGGAUUGUAGGCUGCAACUCGCCUACAUGAAGUCGGAAUCGCUAGUAAUCGCGGAUCAGCACGCCGCGGUGAAUACGUUCCCGGGUCUU